CCUACGGGAGGCAGCAGUGGGGGAUAUUGCACAAUGGGGGAAACCCUGAUGCAGCGACGCCGCGUGGGUGAAGAAGCGCCUCGGCGCGUAAAGCCCUGUCAGCAGGGAAGAAAAUGACGGUACCUGAAGAAGAAGCCCCGGCUAACUACGUGCCAGCAGCCGCGGUAAUACGGAGGGGGCAAGCGUUAUCCGGAUUUCCUGGGGGUAAAGGGGGAGCAGACGGCGAGGCAAGCCAGGAGUGAAAGCCCGGGGCCCAACCCCGGGACGGCCCUUUGAACUGCGUGGCUAGAGUGCAGGAGGGGCAGGCGGAAUUCCUGGUGGAGCGGUGAAAUGCGUAGAUAUCAGGAGGAACCCCGGUGGCGAAGGUGGCCUGCUGGACUGCAACUGACGUUGAGGCCCGAAAGCGUGGGGAGCAAACAGGAUUAGAUACCCCGGUAGUC
rnacentral:rRNA from 1 species